GACGAACGCUGGCGGCGUGCUUAACACAUGCAAGUCGAACGGUGACGAGGAGCUUGCUCCUCCGAUCAGUGGCGAACGGGUGAGUAACACGUGAGUAACCUGCCCCAGACUCUGGAAUAACAGUUGGAAACAGCUGCUAAUACCGGAUACGAGACGGAGAGGCAUCUCUACCGUCUGGAAAGUUCUUCGGUCUGGGAUGGACUCGCGGCCUAUCAGCUUGUUGGUGAGGUAAUGGCUCACCAAGGCGACGACGGGUAGCCGGCCUGAGAGGGCGACCGGCCACACUGGGACUGAGACACGGCCCAGACUCCUACGGGAGGCAGCAGUGGGGAAUAUUGCACAAUGGGCGAAAGCCUGAUGCAGCAACGCCGCGUGAGGGAUGACGGCCUUCGGGUUGUAAACCUCUUUCAGUAGGGAAGAAGCGAAAGUGACGGUACCUACAGAAGAAGCACCGGCUAACUACGUG
rnacentral:rRNA from 1 species